CCGAAACCUGCCCAGCAGAGCGACCCGUGAACAUGUUCAAACUCGUGGGUGUUGGGGCGUAGCUCGGCGCCAAGUGUGCCGGACCGUCCCUCUCCCAAGCCGGGGGAGCGCUCACUUGUGGGCUGUUUCCCCGACAAAACAACGAACCCCGGCGCGUAAUGCGUCAAGGAAUACAAACAUUAUGCGUGUGCUCUCCCGUCGCCCGGUUAGCCGGGCGUUGGAGCGGUGCCAUGUCUUAACAAUAAACGACUCUCGGCAACGGAUAUCUCGGCUCUCGCAUCGAUGAAGAACGUAGUGAAAUGCGAUACUUGGUGUGAAUUGCAGAAUCCCGUGAACCAUCGAGUUUUUGAACGCAAGUUGCGCCCGAAGCCUUUUGGCUUAGGGCACGUCUGCCUGGGCGUCACGCAUCGCGUCUCCCCCAAAUCCACCCCAAGUGGAGGGGAAGGACGAUGGUCUCCCGCGACUCACCGGUCGCGGAUGGCCUAAAAUUGGAGCCCUCGGCAUCAUGAUGCCGUGGCGAUUGGUGGUGAACAAGGCCUCGGCCAAGCAAGCAACCCGCCGCGCGUCGCGAUGCCAACGUGAGCUCGAAUGACCCUUGUAGUUGCCUAACGGCAAUGUAAUCGUUGCGACCCCAGGUCAGGCGGGACUACCC
rnacentral:rRNA from 1 species